rnacentral:rRNA from 1 species
AGGCCUUACACAUGCAAGUCGAGGGGUAGAAUGUCUUCGGAUAUUUGAGACCGGCGCACGGGUGCGUAACACGUAUGCAACCUGCCUUUUACUGGGGAAUAGCCCGAAGAAAUUCGGAUUAAUGCCCCAUAUGCUCGCACAAUCGCAUGAUUGAGCGAGGAAAGCUCCGGCGGUAAAAGAUGGGCAUGCGUCCUAUUAGCUUGUUGGUGAGGUAAUGGCUCACCAAGGCUACGAUAGGUAGGGGACCUGAGAGGGUGAACCCCCACACUGGUACUGAGACACGGACCAGACUCCUACGGGAGGCAGCAGUGAGGAAUAUUGGGCAAUGGAGGAAACUCUGACCCAGCCAUGCCGCGUGCAGGAAGACGGCCCUCUGGGUUGUAAACUGCUUUUAUAUGGGAAUAAACCCUUCCACGUGUGGAAGGCUGAAGGUACCAUAAGAAUAAGGAUCGGCUAACUCCGUGCCAGCAGCCGCGGUAAUACGGAGGAUCCAAGCGUUAUCCGGAUUUAUUGGGUUUAAAGGGUCCGUAGGCGGGUCUUUAAGUCAGUGGUGAAAGCCUGCAGCUUAACUGUAGAAUUGCCAUUGAUACUGAAGACCUUGAGUGUAGUAGAAGUAGGCGGAAUAUGGCAUGUAGCGGUGAAAUGCAUAGAUAUGCCAUAGAACACCGAUUGCGAAGGCAGCUUACUAUGUUACAACUGACGCUGAGGGACGAAAGCGUGGGUAGCAAACAGGAUUAGAUACCCUGGUAGUCCACGCCGUAAACGAUGAUUACUCGCUGUUAGCGAUAUACAGUUAGCGGCCAAGCGAAAGCAUUAAGUAAUCCACCUGGGGAG